UGAUAUUAAUGAACCUCCAAGCGGCUCCCAAAGAAAAUGCAGGCGCUGUCGGAGCUGCCGAGUUAGAGUGUGAAUAUGGGAGUGUGGCUCUGUGCGUGCGUGAUGAGCGCCAGACAGAUUCGUGGAAGAAACUGGGUGGCUGUGUGUUUGUGUGAUUGUGCGCACCGGAUAUGGCCAUGUGAGUUGGUUCAUUCUUGGUCCCGUGCCCUUUCUGUUGGGUAAAACUUGGAUCUGGUCCGAGCAAAUCACAGACUUGCUCAUCUCUUCUCGACUUUUCCCUGGCCCUUGUAUUUUUCUCACAAGAGCAAACAGGAAGACUAAUGAAGCGUAUUGAUCUAAUGGAAACUUGUGACCAGAUAAAUGAUCGAAACCUGGAUUGAAACCUGGAAGAAUGCACUUGAAAACUGUGCCCUACUCAUUUUCUCCAUGCUUGUCCUUUCUCAUAACGUUUGAUAUCUUGGCCAGUGGGAGAUAUUUUGCCGUUUGUCCAUCGUUUGUCAUGUGUUAUGUGAUGGAGGGGUCUCGUAGCAGCAGAAAAAAAGAGCAGCUUGUCCUGGGCUUUCCUUUCAAAGUCCCAUUAACAGGUUGUGUGAUGCUGUGUAAAUCAUUUAACUAAGCUUUCCCCAGAAAGAUGGGAGAUGGGAGGACAGAAGUUUGGCCCUAGCAAACCCCUACCUACCCCCAAACAAUCGUUAGCUCAGUUUGUAGCCUAUCAGUGUCAGUAUAUGUUAAACUGUAGGCAAAGUGAAAAAUACUGCACUCAAAUAAGGUGUGUGUUAUAAAUUGAUAAGUGGAAAGAGGAGGUGAAGGAGACAAUUAAAACACUUGUAACAUAGGCUGAAAGUUGACCAG